AGUGAACACUGGCGGUAGGCCUAACACAUGCAAGUCGAACGGCAGCACAGUAAGAGCUUGCUCUUACGGGUGGCGAGUGGCGGACGGGUGAGGAAUACAUCGGAAUCUACUUUUUCGUGGGGGAUAACGUAGGGAAACUUACGCUAAUACCGCAUACGACCUACGGGUGAAAGCAGGGGAUCUUCGGACCUUGCGCGAUUGAAUGAGCCGAUGUCGGAUUAGCUAGGUGGGUGGGUAAAGGCCCACCAAGGCGACGAUGCGUAGCUGGUCUGAGAGGAUGAUCCGCCACACUGGAACGGAGACACGGUCCAGACUCCUACGGGAGGCAGCAGUGGGGAAUUUUGGACAAUGGGCGCAAGCCUGAUCCAGCCAUACCGCGUGGGUGAAGAAGGCCUUCGGGUUGUAAAGCCCUUUUGUUGGGAAAGAAAAGCAGCAGGUUAAUACCCCGCUGUUCUGACGGUACCCAAAGAAUAAGCACCGGCUAACUUCGUG
rnacentral:rRNA from 1 species